rnacentral:rRNA from 1 species
UACAGGGGGGGCAAGCGUUGUUCGGAAUUACUGGGCGUAAAGGGCUCGUAGGCGGCCAACUAAGUCACACGUGAAAUCCCCAGGCUUAACCUGGGAACUGCGUGUGAUACUGGAUGGCUUGAAUCCGGGAGAGGGAUGCAGAAUUCCAGGUGUAGCGGUGAAAUGCGUAGAUAUCGGGAGGAACACCUGUGGCGAAAGCGGCUCACUGGACCAUUACUGACGCUGAGGCACGAAAGCUAGGGGAGCAAACAGG